rnacentral:rRNA from 1 species
UACGUAGGGUGCAAGCGUUGUCCGGAAUUAUUGGGCGUAAAGAGCUCGUAGGCGGUUUGUCGCGUCGAAUGUGAAAACCCGGGGCUCAACCCCGGGCCUGCAGUCGAUACGGGCAGGCUAGAGUUCGGCAGGGGAGACUGGAAUUCCUGGUGUAGCGGUGAAAUGCGCAGAUAUCAGGAGGAACACCGGUGGCGAAGGCGGGUCUCUGGGCCGAUACUGACACUGAGGAGCGAAAGCGUGGGGAGCGAACAGG